UGUGAACUGACAAGCCCAUGGAUGUCUACAAAGAGUGAACUGAUCACUGUGGGCUGGCCUUUGAGGCAUCAGUGAGCUCCAGUGCCUGGGACAAUGCCUGACACUUAGCAGACAGUCAGUGAAUGUGUUAUAUAAAUGAAUGAAUACUUGGAGCGUGAGAAUCAGAGCGGCAAAAAUAUUUGUCCAUAAUAUGCCUAAAGAUAAAAACGGAAGCCUCAGAACUAGAUAAGUGCAUUUUACAAGCGGUAAUACAAAGAGACAGGAUUAUAUGAUCUCCAAGGUCCCAUCCAGCCCAUUUAACACGGCAUUGUGGCUCUGGAGACCUGGAAGCACUGCUAACUGUUCUCUCGAUUUUCUGACGCUCGGCCACAUCAACCUGUCAUACUAGUUGUGAGGAGAAGUCAAGGACAGUGACACAGCCAGCCAGUCUGAGGCAUUUUCCAUCAUCCUGAAGGAGUUGCCCUAUCCUGCUUUUCACUGGAGGGGGCAUGGAUGGGGAUCCUGGAUGACAAAGCAGUCACCUACUUGAACACUGCUAAUUAUGAAGUCAGAAAGAGGAAAGUUUGCAGAGUUUUGUAUUGGCAAUCAAACAUUCAGCCACAGGUCACAGUCUAGAACCAGACACAUCAGUGUCCUCAACUGCAAAGUAGCCAGGAAGCAGCAUCCCAUAA
rnacentral:lncRNA from 10 species